AAACCAACAGGGAUUGCCUCAGUAACGGCGAGUGAAGCGGCAACAGCUCAAAUUUGAAAUCUGGAGCCUUCGGCUUCCGAGUUGUAAUUUGAAGAGGAUGUUUCGGUUGCGGCUUGGGCCUAAGUUCCUUGGAACAGGACGUCAUGGAGGGUGAGAAUCCCGUAAAUGGCCCCCGGCUUGCUUCCAUGUGAAGCUCCUUCGAAGAGUCGAGUUGUUUGGGAAUGCAGCUCAAAAUGGGUGGUAAAUUUCAUCUAAAGCUAAAUAUUGGCGGGAGACCGAUAGCGCACAAGUAGAGUGAUCGAAAGAUGAAAAGCACUUUGAAAAGAGAGUUAAACAGUACGUGAAAUUGUUGAAAGGGAAGCGCUUGCAAUCAGACUCGCUUUCGGUUGAUCAACGUUCCUUCUGGUUCGUGCACUCUGCCGUUUGCGGGCCAGCAUCAGUUGGGGCGGCGGGACAAAGACGGCGGGAAUGUGGCUCCCCUCGGGGAGUGUUAUAGCCCACCGUGCCAUGCCGCCAGCCCCGAUUGAGGUCCGCGGUUCGCCUAGGAUGCUGGCUUAAUGGUUGUAAGCGACCCGUCUUGAAACACGGACCAAGGAGUCUAACAUCUAUGCGAGUCUUUGGGUGCCAAACCCAUGGGCGGAAUGAAAGUGAACGGAGGUGGGAGUCCUCGGAUGCACCAUCGACCGAUCCUGAUGUUUUCGGAUGGAUUUGAGUAUGAGCAUAGCUGUUGGGACCCGAAAGAUGGUGAACUAUGCCUGAAUAGGGUGAAGCCAGAGGAAACUCUGGUGGAGGCUCGCAGCGGUUCUGACGUGCAAAUCGAUCGUCAAAUUUGGGUAUAGGGGCGAAAGACUAAUCGAACCAUCUAGUAGCU
rnacentral:rRNA from 1 species